rnacentral:rRNA from 1 species
UACAGAGGGUGCGAGCGUUAAUCGGAAUUACUGGGCGUAAAGCGUGCGUAGACGGUUAUUUAAGUCGGGUGUGAAAGCCCCGGGCUCAACCUGGGAAUUGCACUCGAGACUGAAUAGCUAGGGUACGGUAGAGGGAAGCGGAAUUUCCGGUGUAGCGGUGAAAUGCGCAGAUAUCAGGAGGAACACCAAUGGCGAAGGCAGCACUCUGGGACGUGACUGACGCUGAGACGCGAAAGCGUGGGGAGCAAACAGG